rnacentral:rRNA from 1 species
UGCGUAGGUGGCGGGGUAAGUCAGGUGUGAAAUCUCGGAGCUCAACUCCGAAACUGCACUUGAUACUGCCUUGCUCGAGUACUGGAGAGGAGAUUGGAAUUUACGGUGUAGCAGUGAAAUGCGUAGAUAUCGUAAGGAAGACCAGUGGCGAAGGCGAAUCUCUGGACAGUUACUGACACUGAGGACGAAGGCCAGGGGGAGCGAAACG